GAUGAACGCUGGCGGCGUGCCUAAUACAUGCAAGUCGAGCGAACAGACGAGGAUCUUGCUCCUCUGACGUUAGCGGCGGACGGGUGAGUAACACGUGGAUACCCUACCUAUCAGACUGGGAUAACUUCGGGAAACCGGAGCUAAUACCGGAUAAUAUAUUGAACCGCAUGGUUCAAUAGUGAAAGACGGUUUUGCUGUCUCUUAUAGAUGGAUCCGCGCCGCAUUAGCUAGUUGGUAAGGUAACGGCUUACCAAGGCAACGAUGCGUAGCCGACCUGAGAGGGGGAUCGGCGACACUGGAACUGAGACACGGACCAUGCUCCUACGGGAGGCAGCAGUAGGGAAUGGUCCGCAAUGGGCGGAAGCUUGACGGAGCAACGCCGCGCGAGUGAUGAAGGUGUUGGGAUCGUAAAACUCUGUUAUGAGGGAAGAACAAAUGUGUAAGUAGCUAUGCACGUCUUGACGGUACCUAAUCAGAAAGCCACGGCUAACUACGUG
rnacentral:rRNA from 1 species